UACAGAGGGGGCAAGCGUUAUUCGGAAUUAUUGGGCGUAAAGGGCGCGUAGGCGGCUUUGCAAGUGACGGGUGAAAUCCCUCGGCUUAACCGAGGAACUGCCUGUCAGACUGCAUGGCUUGAGACCGGGAGAGGUGAGUGGAAUUCCCAGUGUAGCGGUGAAAUGCGUAGAUAUCAGGAGGAACACCAAUGGCGAAGGCAGCUCGCUGGGACGGUACUGACGCUGGAGGCGCGAAAGCCGUGGGGAGCAAACAGG
rnacentral:rRNA from 1 species